rnacentral:ncRNA from 1 species
GGUCCCAUUGUUUUGCUUAUAAAUUCCAAGAUGCCAGCAGCAGGCGCAUCACUGAAUCGUUGCAUGACGUAGCCAUGUAGCCUUGCGCUAUGUUCACUGUCAGGGUGGAAUAAGAGCGCAUAUGUUGGGACCUCUCUAAAGAUAUUGAAGUAUGCUUGCGAAGGGUGAAAGCAAAGGAAACUUUGGUGGAAGACUGUAGUAACUCUGACUUUCAAAUUGAUCGGUAUAAGGUGAGUAUGAGGGCAAAAGGUUAAUCGAACUAUCUAGUAGCUAGUUCCUUCAGAAUAGCUGGUAUUUUGAGAGAUAGACAUCUUUAUCACGUAUUGGAGGAAGACAUGAAUCAAUUCUCAAACUUUAAAUGGGUGAGAAGAUUAACCCACUUUAGUGAACUUUCGCACUGAAUGUGAAUCCCAAGUGAGUCACUUUUGGUAAUCAGCACUUGUACCGUAGAAUGAAUCUAAUAUUAUUUCCACCAAAUAACAUAUCGAUCCCUAGACUUCGUUGAAGCGUCUGUACUAGUAUCCAAGAUGAGAAUAGAGGUGGGAUGUGUUGGUCCAAUAUAAAUAUAAAAUCAAAUCCACAAAAAU